AAAGCUGUGAAUCAGAACUUUUUGUUACUAAUUUGUGAUAAUCGUUGAGAAAAACAGAGUUUUUUGGAGAUUGAAGGCUUCGGUUCACAAAAUCAGGUAAGAAGUUUGGGUUUUUUUUUUUUCCGCCAUUUGAUUUAUUUCACGGCAUAUUUUGAACAUAAUGAGAUCAAUAAUUAGGGUUUUUAAUCUUUGUUGUGGCUAGUAUGAUUUAAAAUUUUCAAUUUUACGUAAUCUGGUCAAUUACAGCAUGAAAUUUGAGAUGAACACUGAGAUGUCUGCGGAACCAAAAUUCC
rnacentral:lncRNA from 1 species